UCAUGCCCCUUAUGGUACCGUGGCUACAACGUGAUACAAUGGCUGAAACAAAGGGCAGCGAAGGAGCGAUCUGGAGCGAAACCCAAAAAGCAGUCUCAGUUCGGAUUGAAGUCUGCAACUCGACUUCAUGAAGUCGGAAUCGCUAGUAAUCGCGGAUCAGAACGCCGCGGUGAAUACGUUCUCGGGGUUU
rnacentral:rRNA from 1 species